GUCCUUGCCCUAAACUAUGUAUACUUGGUGUUGUUGGGCUCAACCCUGACAGUACCGUAGCUAACGCGAUAAGUAUACCGCCUGGGGAGUACGCUCGCAAGGGUAAACUCAAAAGAAUUGACGGGGACCCGCACAAGCAGUGGAGCAUGUGGUUUAAUUCGAUGCAACGCGAAGAACCUUACCUGGGCUUGACAUGCAUUUUGACCGCUACAGAGAUGUAGUUUUCUCGCAAGAGACAGAUGCACAGGUGCUGCAUGGCUGUCGU
rnacentral:rRNA from 1 species